CACUAUGCAUAGCCCUAAACACCGGCAGACACCCACAUUUACUUAACUGCCCGCCUGGAUAUUACGAGCACUAGCUUAAAAUCCAAAGGACUUGGCGGUGCUUCAGACCCCCCUAGAGGAGCCUGUUCUAGAACCGAUUAUCCCCGUUCAACCUCACCUUUCCUUGCCCAAAUCCGCCUAUAUACCUCCGUCGUCAGCUGACCUCAUGAGAGAUCCACAGUUAGCACAACUGGCACAGCCAAAUACGUCAGGUCGAGGUGUAGCUUAUGGAAAGGGAAGAAAUGGGCUACAUUCUCUAUAAUAGAGCAUACGAACGAAAUGCUGAAAUACCAUUUCUGAAGGAGGAUUUAGCAGUAAGUAAGGAGUAGAGUGCCCUACUGAAGCCGGCUCUGAAGCGCGUACACACCGCCCGUCACUCUCCCCGAUAAAUAAUACCAACUACUUAAAAACUAAAAACAACAGAGGGGAGGCAAGUCGUAA
rnacentral:rRNA from 1 species